CGCACGCGCGGUCCAGGUGUGGCCUUCACGUUCCCGCCGCCGGUGCCCGCUUCCGUCCGAGAGACGGUGCAGCAACUGGCCGCGAGCGCAGCAAGCCCCCCGCCCGCCGCUGCGAUUCCGAAGCAUAGCGCAGAAUGCCUUCUAAGGAUUUUGCAAAGCCCACCGAGGAGAUGUGCGGGAACCCGCGUGACCCCGGGCGCCCAGCCCAGCGCGGCCGGAGCCUCGACAGACAAAUCCUUCUUUGUGAGAAGGGCCCGCCUCCCCGGUGAAACCACCUGUACUCCGGAUAUAUAGGUCUGGUCCUAGAGAAUAGUUAAUCGGGAAAUGGCCACUCGAUAUUGUCGAGGAAGAAAGCAGGUUACGAAACAGCACGUGUGAUACGAUCUUGCUUGAGAGGACGAAACCAACACUAGGCACACAUCCCCUGAGGUUUCGAAAUGACCAGAAGUUUACACCCCAGACUAUAUUUUUGGAUUACUGGAUUAUAGGAAAGUAUCACAGCCACCAGUGGGAAGAGAGUCAGUGGACGGAUCCUGGGCAUGACCUUGCUCCUUAGUGACUCAUGACAGUCACCCUGGAGGUCACUUCAGUUCUGCCCAGAAUCUGAUUCCUUCUCACCAUCCUGCGGCUACUACUCUCCAGCCACCGGGAUCAUCGCAACAUCUGCUGCGUAUCUUCACACCCCAAUGGUCUAGAAUCGACACAGCAGCCAGAACAAGCCUGGAAAAGCUCUCAGAUCUUGUCACUCUUUUGCUCCCUCUCCCCAGUGGUUCCUCUUUCCUUCAGAGGAAAAGCCAAGUCCAUGCAAUGACCUGGAAGGUUCUACAAGAUCAGACCGCCUACUACUGAUCUCCUCUCCUCCUACUCGAGCCCCUCUUCACCCUGCUCCCCAUGUUGUCUUGACAGUCCUUAAACCUGCCGUGUACUGCUAGUGCAGAAUAUUGGAAUUAGCUCUUCUCUUCUCUGUGCCUGGAGCCCUGUCUCUCCAGCUAGCUCAAAUCCAACCUCCUCUUCUACCCCAACUCUGCUUACAUGCUGCUUUCUCAGUGAGCUCCAUUCUGACUUCCUAUUUGAAACUGCAGCCCCUUAGUCACUUAACCUGCUUUAUUUCUUUUUCUAGAGCAUUUAUUACCUUCUAAAAUACUCAUAAUAUACUUCUUGAUUAUCUUUAUAGUUGAUUAUCUGCAUUCCUCUAAGACCCAUGAGGAUAGGCAUCUUGCUAUAUUUUUUCACCGAUGUACCUGAACCUGGCUUAAAAGAACACCUGACACAUAGUUAGUGUUCAACAAAUAUCUGUUAAAUGAACAACUCAGUACAAUGAAAAUCUCCAUUCACAGGCAGAUGGGACUCGAGGCUGAGAUGACUGGACUAUCCAGCAGGUUUCUUGCUUUGUUGUCUUCCCAAGGGGUGGGAAGGGAUACUUGGGUAGAAACACUACCCUGUCGACUUCCAGGGAAGUAAAGAGUGGUUCUUUCUUGGGCUUCUUCUACCAGCUUGCUCCACCAAGUUCCUACCUAUCCCCAUGGGAUUUGUGCUUGACUCAGAGAUGAAGGACCAGACUGCUGUCUAUCACAGAGUGUCUAAACUAGAAGGGAUCCCCUCCCUCUUACACACAGUUCGGAGGCAUUCAUUUCUGCCAUGCCCCUUGUAUUGAAAGGAAUCCAGUGCAGGGUUGUGCAGAAGACAGGAUCCACUACUAAGUGGCCAGAUGGUUUUCUUAUCAUUGGUUGAAUGAAGUACCCUUACACAUUAAGCUGUGUUGAGGUCCGGGACCCCUGCCAAAUCAUGUUACAAAUAGAAAAAGGCAAGUCAAGUCCUGACUGUCUCCUGGUAGGAGGUUAAGUUCCUUCUAGGUAGCACACUCUACAGAAUUGUGACCAAUGUUACCCCAGCAUAUUCAUCCUGGGCAGAGUAGAAUGAGGGGUAAUAAAAUAAUCUCUUUCAAGGAGGCCCUCCCCCCUGCCCCCCAGGGACAACAGGUAGCAAAAUGCAAAAAUAGAAGAGAAAUUAAUUGUGAUUAUUUUACUGUUUAUAGAAAUCACUAAGAGUUUAGCUGCCCUUUUUACACUAAAAAUAUUUUACCAAAAAAUCAAAAUAACACUGCAGUGUCUCUGUGCCCAUUGUGCAACUUCAGUGACUCGUUCAAAGCCAACCGUAUUUCAUUUACCACUCACCAAAUAGCAAAUACGCUAUUUCAAAAUAAGGCCAUAUUUCCAGAGUCUGGGUGGACAAGAAUUUUGGGGAAGACGCUAUUCAACCGAGUAUAGACCUCAACCGUCCACAUCUCUUGACAACUUGCUGGAGAUAGUCAAGUUUCUAUUUUUCUUGAACCCCUUUGGACAAAAUAUUUUAAAACUCCCUUUGCUUACUUUUCAACAUUUUAAGUCAAAUGUACAGAUUCCAAUUGUGCUUUUUUUGGUAGACUUCGGCUAUCAAAUGUGCAUCACAGGGGUCUGUGAUGAGGUUUGAAGUCUCCUGUGCUCUCUGGUACUUGGGUUGGCACUAGAGAGUUUGUCUUUUUUUCUUUCCUUCUAUAGUUAUUACCUGCCACUUCUUGCUGAUGUUAGCAUUUGUGUUUGGGUAAAUAGAUCCUCUGUCAUUUCUAAUUUCUGUCAGUUAGAAAGCCACAACUCUAAGUUUGCUGUAACUGUCCAAUUUAGCCUUAAAUAGUCUUAAUAACAGGCCGAGGAGCUUCCCUUGACUAGAAUAAAGUGUAUUGAAUGCAGAUGUCACAUGCAGCACACACAGAAAUAAGCCAGAAUUCUAGAGGUUUACUCACUUGGAACUUGUCGAGAAAGCUUGACCUCAAUGAGAUAAUAUUAUAGCUCAUUUAGACAGGAAUAUAAACAAUUCUAGGCGUUGAUAUUGAUUUCCUCUUCCUUGUAAUUAGAGGUCAGCUGAUAACAUUUUGGCCUCACAGCCAAGGGCAAGGGACCCUGUCCCAGCCAUCCAGAGCACCUGUCCUCUUUGCAAUGUCCCUGUGUAUGGCUCUUCUUUUCUGUGUUGAGUCCCUCCUUUUUUUCACCCCCCCCCCAGGCUUGCAUCACUAAUCAUGGAUCAGUGCACUUGUUCAAAGCAAAGUUUUGAAGCAUGCAAGUUUCAUUAAUUGAUUUCUUUAGAAGACUUUGCUUCCCUCCAAUAUACUCUACAAAAUGUGGGUUAAUAGAACAGCUGCAGAGUGCUCUGUCAGUCCGUCUGUUUGUCUCUCUCUCUCUCUACCCCAGGCAUUGUUUUCUGAUGCCCGUAAUUUCCACCCCAUCAUGAGGCCCUCUUCUGCUUUCCUGGCUCCCACUGAUGCAUUUGCUAUAUAGUUGGAUUGUCGAUGCGUGGGGUGUGACUGUACUUACUCAGUCUGAUAACGUGUAGAAGCUCAAGUGAUAAUGGAACAUACAGUUCUUGUAUCACUGAGCCUUGGAUUCCUAAGCGCAUUAACCUCUGGCCCCUUUUCUGCCAGGAUUCGACAAAGAAGUCAAAAGUUUAACUCCAGGGUAGGAGAAAAUUGACUGUGUAAAUGCAGAUUUUUCUAGGCAUUAAAAUGAAAGCUCAAAUACUGACCCUAUGGUCUCCUGCAAUCGUUUCUUCUGAGAAAAGGGUCAGUAGACUGUUUUCAGUGAGCGUAUUUUUAGAUGGUUUGCCAUUAAAUCCAGUUUUGUAGGUAUACAGCUGGCUCUGGGUAAAACAUGGCCAACUUUGACUUUGCUCCCCCUGCAGCUCCUGUCUGAGUCCUCCUCCUGUCUGAUAGUCCCUUCUCUGCCCCAGGUCCCCCACUGCAUCUCCCUCCCUUAGGCAGCACCCUAUGCUCCAGAACAUCCCAUUUCUAAAAGCAUAGUCCUGUCCUGGGGUCUGUUUCCUCAGGGUUCAGCUAGAUACUGACUAACGCAACACGGAAUCCUGGAAUUUCAAGCUAAAAGAACUCUAGAGUCUUUUCUCCACUGAGCUGGUCAGGGGUGAGAAGUAAGCUGAGGAGAACAGCGGCUGGGGAGAGCCGAGAACUGGAUGGCAUCUUUCUGAAGGCUCCGGGCUUCUCUGGUUAUGUGCCUCCGAGGAGCAGCAUGGCUCACAGGUCACUUUCCCACAGCACAAAAGGAACAUCAUUUCCUUUAGACCAAACUCACCUACAGUGGCUUCUACUUAUCAUUCUUCCAUCUCCCUCUAGAAUCCUGACAGACAAGAAUGCUGCCUCAGGCCUGCCUGCCGUGCUGCAAAGUAUGACAGCCUGCUCUCAGGGAACCAUACAUAUUUGGAAUUUGAAGUGGAUUGGGGACUUAAAAAAAAAACAACAAAAUAACAAAACGCCUUAAGAAACGAAAGUUUGAGAACAAGUUAGCCAAACCCUGGAUUCCUUGAAAUGCAUUUGAUAAGCAUUGCAUUAAAGCUGACCUUUUUGCAAGAGUUUCUGGAGAAUGAUGUUUAGUGGGUUUUUUUUUUCUUUUAAUGUGAUAAAAAUUCACUCUGCCAGCUGAGCAUGCGCUACGGGGCGAGAGCAGGUUGCUUUCUCUGCGGGGGAGAGAAGUGUUCGAGUGAGGCCCUUUGGGCUACUUCUGGAUGCUGGCUACAGCUUUGAUGAAGGUUUAAGCUGAAAGAUACAUCAAGUUUGAAAUACAUAUUUUACAAGGGGAAGGCGUGGGACGGUGUCCUGGAUUCCAUCAGGCAUGCACAGAGCCUCCUGUCACGCAAGGCAGAGAAGGGGGUUGAGCUUGCUGCUCAAAUCCCUGAGGAGACGAGGUCCUCUUACUCACCCUCAGGAACAGUCAUAUAACUUCUCCGGAGACCUGUCUAAACGAAGAAAAUACAGUUCUCUAAUUCUGAGGAAGGCCAAGAGUAACGUUGCACAGAGAAAGAACAAAACAGAGUAAUCAUCUGGUUAAGUUGUUUGGUGAAAUUUUAAUGCUUCCUCCUCUGUAGUCCUAGUAGGAAUAUCUUGGAGAUAGUGGUUUACCGCGCAUAGACCAGAGUUCUCGAGGCCAUGAACGCAAUGGACUAUCAGGGUCAAAGGCAGGGCCUGCAUCUUAAAUCACCAUGUACUUGCUGGUAGGCUAUCAUAGGCAGUGGCAGGAAUCAGGGCUGGGGGGUUUGGGACUGGAAUCUGGGAGGUGCGGGGAGAGCAGUGUCGGCAGAUACGAAAUCGGGCCCUUCAGACUUGCACAGUAGGACUGUUUUCAGAUCAUAUCCCUCCUCCUACCCCAAGACCACUCACUUUCCCUGGCAGGGCUAGCCCGACCUUCAGCUUGUGGGUUAACCCCCUUGUGUUAUUUAUCCUUCUUCUCAAAUCUCACAAAGGGAGAAUCUGGUGACAACCAUCAUCAAGGGGAGAGCUAAACAGAAAGAAGGACAGAAGGCCUCAUCAAAGGCCCAGAGGUGUGGAAGGCAGACACCCAGCUCUGACCUCCCCCCACCUUGUAUUUGUGUGAUGACCAGCUCAGGCCCUUUUGACCACCAAUAGAGCACUAGCUCCUUCUCCAUCCUAUACCUCAGACCCCUGGCAACUUCUCCACCAACUGCCCCAAUCCUGUUACUUUGAGCCUAGUUCUUUCUGACCCCAGGUCUCCAAAUCCAGAAUGGCAAAUUCUGAGAGUUCAAAGGAGACGUGAGAAUUUGAUAGAGUAUCUCCAGGGAUCAGUUUGGAUAGGAGUCUGGUAGUAAAGAAUAGUUUUUCACCUUAUCCUAGGCAAAAUGGUUCUAUUCCAUAUUGCCUUAGAAUUAAUGUUGCCAGAUUAAGAAAUAAAAAUACAGAUGCAUUGAUAAUAUGCCACAACGUGGAUGGACCUUGAAAUCAGGCUAAGUGAAAGAAGCUAGGCACAGAAGACCACAUAUUGUGAGAGUCCAUAUAGGUCAAAUGUUGCAAAUGGGCAAAUCUAUAAAGAUAGAAAGUAAAUUCGUGGUUGCCUAGGGCUGCCGAAUAAGGGGGGCCCUGGGAUGGGGAGUGACUGAUAAUGGCUACAGGGUUUCUUUCUGGGAUGAUACCAUGUUUUAAAAUCAGAUGGUGAUAAUGGCUGUACAACUCUGUGAAUAAACUAAAAUCCAUUGCCUUAUAUACUUAAAGUGGUGGAUUUUUAUGAUACAUGAAUAUCUUAAUAAAGCUUAAUAAGGUUUUUAGUAAUAUAGGACGGUAAUUUAGAUUUGAAUUUCAGAUUAACUAUGAAAAUAAAUUUAGGGUAAGUAUAUGCUAUGCAAUAUUUGGGACAUAUUUCUACUGAAAACAUUUUCAUUAUUUAUUUGAAAUUCACAUUUAACUGGAUGUCCUGUAUUUUAUCUGGCAACCCUACUUAGGAUUCGAUUAAAUGUCUCAGAAAGCACCAAUCAACAGCAAGAGUAAGAAGAACUAGUUCAUGAGAUGUCAUUUACAAGAGAUUUAUGGGGACCCCCUACAUUCUUUUGGGCAUCAAAAUUCUUAACAAUUAAUCAAGACCAAGAACUUCUUAAUAUAAUGAUAAUCAUUUUUUAAAAAUCGAAUUGUAGCUGCCAUGGCAGAGAAAUCCACGAAGAAAAGAAAUAGCACUGAAAUUCUUUAUUAAAAAUGUCCAAAAAUUAUAGAAAAUGUCUAGGAGUGAGAAGAACUGGAUAUUUUAUAAGAACCUACUAAUCUUGGGGCACCUGGGUGGCUCAGUCGGCUAAGCGUCUGCCUUCGGCUCAGGUCAUAAUCCCAGGGUCCUGGGAUCGAGCCCCGCAUCGGGCUCCUUGCUCAGCGGGGAGCCUGCUCCUCCUUCGCCCUCUGUCCUUUCCCCGACUCUUGCUCUCUCUUUAUCUCUCUCUCUCUCUUAAAUAAAUAAAAUCUUAAAAAAAAAGAACUUACUAAUCUUUACAUUUCAUGAAUCUUACCAUUGAAUUAGACACAUUUUAGGGGAAGUUCAGGAGUGUGGAUCUAAAAAUUUUUGACUCGUUCACUUCGAUGAAAAAUUAUUUUAACCUAUUUACUAUAUAUAGUGAGAUUUGCUAUAAAGUAAAUAUUGUCAUGCUUAUGGAAGAACAUGAAGGCAGCACCCGUGAGGAAAGGUGAUACAUAUGUAUGUGUCAUACACACACACUCACCCUCGCUCAACAUAUAUACAUUCUUUGGAUGUUUCAUAUUUGUUUUAAGGGGAUGUCUCAGGUUGCAAAUUCUAGUAAGCAGAAUUGUUUAAGUUCGCACUUGCAUAAUGGUCAUCUUUAAAAAAUGAUUA